GAGUGGGCGGUGCGGACGGCGCGAGGAGCGAUUCCCGGUCGGUCCCGGGGCCGCGCGGGGAGCGGGGAAGCCGCCAGAGUGCCCCGGCAGCCACCCACCGGCUCCGCGGGGCGGGGAGGGGUGAGCAGGGAGAAGCGGGGCUGCCGGGGGCCGCUCUCCGCGGCUGCGGGGUCACGGGAGCGCCGGGUGGCCGCGGGCGGGGCGCGGAGGGGGUCGGGGUCCGUCCGCUAACGCGGGCGGGCACGGCCCGAGUUGAGCGCGCAGCGCCUGUCCCGGCCGGCAGCCCUGCCGCUGAGCUCCUUGGGGCCGAGCCUCCGGCGGGGCUGCGCCUCGCCCGUGUCGCUCGUAGGGCAGCGCCGCGAUCGGCACCGGCCGUGGCUCCUUUGACGGGCUUGGAUGGGAGACGUGACGGGAGCAGCGGUGUCUGGCAGCCAGAACCAAAAUUACCGUGCUCCAUCCGCUGUAGCCGCAGAGGCAAAGAAAGCAGCGCGACGCGGUUGCUUGUACGUAUUCCUCCUUCCCCACGCAGCUACUCGGUGCUCUUCUUGGUGUUCAGCACUUCGGAGGCUGUCAGGAAGCUUUGAGGCAGUUCGCGGUAGCUUGGCAGAGCUUUUGUAACAAAGCUGGAUAAAAAUCGCUGCAUUCUUCACGUAGCUCGCUGAAAGCAGUCAUAUUUCAUAGGUCUAGGUAUAAAGUCUAGCUGUUGCUUGAAAUCUGUAAAAAAUUCAGAUGCAUUUCAAUACAUACUGCACAGUAUUUGAAGAUACUUUCAAUGUUAGGUUAAUGGCAAUGAACAAUGCUUCCUAAACUAAAAAGAAACAGACACACGUCAUCUUGACAGGUGUACAAUGUCAUUGGGUAUUGUCAAGCAGUGUUAACUCUGCUUUUCCUGAAAGAUGUGCAUUGACAAAAAUAUAGAGAAUGCAUAGUUCUCAUAACAGUAAGAAUGCCUUGGAUUAUUGCAUUGUGUCCAGUGUUCAUUGUAUAUUCCCCCUUUAAACAGGCAGACAGACCUCAUUAUUUGGACACUGGAGUUUUUGUGUCAUUUCAGGGUUUUGUUUACAUUAGUAGAAAUUAAUGGCUUAUGUAAGGUAAGUCAAUCCUACUGCUUCCAUCCUUAAAAAAUUGUAUAUUCGCUAAGAAAAUAAUGUCUUUGUUAUCAAAGAAUAGCAGUGUUACAAACCAUUAUUUUAAAUAUAGAUUCUUAGUUCAUCAAUAGCUUGCCCACAACACACCGCAGUGUGCUCAUGGAUGACAAAACAAUGCGGUUUCUAUUUAGUAACAUGAUCUUGUUUGCUCUGUUCUAACCUUGUCUUAAGAUUGUGACAAGCUAAAAUACAACUUUACAUGCUUAACAAAAUUGCUAUUGUUUUGUUUCUUGUAGACCAGUCUGGACAAGGAUGCAUUUUUGUAGCCCUUUGCUACCAGCCCUUAGCUGGUGAGUGAAGGCUCUUUUUAACCCCGAGAAACCAUGCUGUCGAAUCCUUCCAUUUGAUUAAGGGCAUCUGCUGAACAGCAAGCUUUCCUCUUAAAAUUAGAUGAACGUACGUGAUGUUAGAAUAAUUGUUCUGGACUGAUGAUUCUCACAGUAAAAAUAGCAUAUGGAGAUUUUCAGCAGAUUUGGUGCAGCUGUUCCCAUACCACUUCAUUAUUGCUUCUUGCACGUAGAGAGUUUCCAGUGCUCAAUUGUAAGCAGACAAUACAAGUGAGAAGUGUUUUCACCUAAACAAUAGGAUUAAAAAAAUAAGUAGUUCAUAUAUGGGAAAUUUGCAGAUUUAUUUUGGCCACCACAGUGGCAAAGAGCUGACACCUAAAGAAACAGGUAAGUUUUGUUUUUCAGGUGCACCAUGUUCGGUAAAAUACCAGAGUGUAUUGGUUACUGUGAAAUAUGAAUGUUUUCAGUCCUUAACUUUGUAAAUAGAUUUAAAUUAGCCAUUCUUCUCAAUUAUGACUAAAACAGAAUUUAAAAUGCAGCUGAAGCAUUAAUUUAACUUUUCAUUUUAACGUGCGAAAUGUGAAUGCAUAUGUAUAUUGACUUACACUGUGGGAUUGCAUAUGGUGAUGUGUUGCAUAUGGUUCUUAAUGUUCAGUACUUACACAGCAGCAUUUCUUACAAAAGGAGCAUAUAUUUAACUGGACAGAAAACAUCUAAACAAAUGAUAAGAAAACUUCAGCCUUUUUUAAAACUGCAGUAAUGAGCAAGAAACAUUUGUAUUGUUUGACCUUCUAAGAAAAUGUAAUUAAUCAGUCUGAAAAGGCCAGAGAUAUAUAUUUUUUUUUUACUAGAAUUCUUCUUUUUUUACCUGCUGAAAAUACUUUAUAUUUUCCAAGUCUUUAGUAAAUGUGAAUCCUUGUUUUAAUGGUGAAGAGAAAUAUGUGGAGCUACAAAGCUGUGAGAAAAGAAAGGGACUAAGCUGUACGAGUGUUGAAAGCUUCUGGAGAUGAGACAGAGUUGCUCAACAGUGUUCAUCCAAAGCAAAGGACAGAGCAGUGCUACAGUGCUUGUUGAUUACCCACACAAAGACCAUUGUGCUUCCAUGCUGUAGUAUUCUCAGAGGCUCUUUUUUAAUCUGCCCAUUGCUAUUGGUGCCUUUUCUCUAAAAGGAAACAACAGCGUUCAGUUUCUUAAUAUUUUCUAAUGGUCCUUUUUCACUUUAGGAAGCCUAAACUCUGUUUUGAUUGUGGGUGACUCAUUGUCUCUCAUUUGUUCCUCCUACCCACAGUCUUUCUGUUGAGUGUGGGAGAUUUUUCCUGGAAUAUAGUAGCCACAUAUAUUUGAAUUAUCAUAUGCCCUGGAAUCCAUUUCACUGUUUCCUACUCUUCAGAAGCUAUGAAACAUUUUGUAGUCAAAUACUUCAAGUUGCUUGCAUGAAAGACAUUAUAAAAGUGCAGAGCAUUAUUGCGUAACCACUCACAUAAAUUCAGAAUUUCCUUACAGAAACAGGAAGCAUCCCAAAUCUCAUGCCAUCUUUGUUGGAUAUUUGUAGGCUGAUGCAUUUUAAGUCCCUAUUUGACUGUCACCAGAGCUCAAAGGCCAAGGCAUAACAAUCAGUAAAACAUGACUCUUGGGCUCAGAGCCAAAAGGUGGACAUUGCUGGCUUGUUUGCUUAUCUAGGAGGUCUGGCUCAUUUUGAGCUGCAGUCACAUUAUACAAGAUGGUAUCAUCCUGUAUAACCAGUGCUGGAUCUGAUUAUUUAGAACGAAUUCAUUGCUUGAUCCUAGUAAGUCGCUGUUACAAGUUCAUAAGCACAAUAAAGGAU